CACUCUCUCUGCCACCUGCUUCUCUCCUUUACUCUUCUCCUUGCUACUUCUGUCUCCUUUGCCUCCUUGAACCCUUUUUCUCCACCUAGAAAGUCUUUCCUCCUCCCUCAUGUAGCCCCCCUCCCCACCAAGACAUUCCUGCAUGUAGGUCAGGACUGGAUUCCCUAACUUUCCCGCUUUGCACAGCUACUCCCAAUACCACUAAAAUAUUUCCACGUAGCCCUUCUCAAUGGACCAUUCUGGCUCAGUAUAUAUAAUUCGAAACACUCCCAACAGUCCUAUCUUCAGAGUCUAAGACAUUCCAGUUCUUCUCCAUCUCAAAACAGACUUUGUGGGCCUAUUUGCCAUCAAGAACUGCUUUCUGUUCCCACAGCCCUGCACACUCACUCAGGGUACUCAUGCUGCCUGGGGCCUGUUAUCAGUUCUGAUGGAGUGGAGUGGAGAAGAGUCCUAAUCCCUGCAUUAAUGGGCCUUCGUUUCCUUUCAGUACUUCAAGGAGUUCUUCUCUCGAUGUGUGACCUGCCCUGUCUAUCACCAGCGAGUCUCUGAGCUUAAAGCCUCUGUGAUGAGAUAUAGAAAGAGAGAGUCCACGUCCUUGACUAAUAUCACGAGACCUUUUGAUACCUGCUUGACCAGGAUUUGGAUAGAGGAAGAAGAAUUGCUGGAGGGAAAUAGCUCCUUUGAAGGAAAUAUGGGAAUACAGGGACUUGUCAGAGUGGCUGAUGUCAAGGAGAAGAAAGAUGAAGAAAUUCAAGAAUGCGUAUGUUAAAACAAAACAAAACAAAAAUCAUCUGAAGUGACCAUGAUUCUUUUAUUAUAUAUGAUGCAAAGAUAUGCCCCCAUUCUCCUUUCAAAAAUCAUCUGAAGUGACCACGAUUUUUUUAUUAUAUAUAACACAAAGAUGUUGCCCCCCAUUCUCCUUUCAAAGAUUCUGUGUAGUGUACACAUUCAAUAUGCUAACCUUUUACAGUCACCACUACUAUAUCUUUGUCAAAAUAAAAGCCUGUGUUUCUGAAGCAUGACACUUAGCUCUUGCUUAACUCUGAACAGCCGUUAACACAACUGUGGCAGAAAUUAGAACUGGAGCUAGACUGGAGUCCAGGGAGGCUUUGAGAUGGACUGAUUCCAUCUUAUAUAAGGUGAGAUUCAUUAGCAUAUGGAAACACAGCCCUAGUGAAAAAGUGGUCAUUACCUCAGGAAGGCUGGUAGUGCAGGCACUUUGGUGUUGCCCUCUUUGGGCCCAGAUGUGAAAAUGGCUCUUAAGAAGUCAAGGGGUCUUUUGAGAGGUAGAAAGCGCUGUGGGACUCCAUUUCUCCAUCGUAUUCUGUGGUUUGGGAAUUACCACAUGAAACUGUGAAAUUGCCAAAAUGUGUAUGACCCCAGCUCUCUCCUCCCCCUCUCCCUCCAUCCCCCACUUCUUUUUCUUCUAGUUAAUUUAUUAUUUGGGGGGGGGGUGCUGCACCCGAGGAAUAUGGAAGUUCCCAGGCUGUGAACCCGCUCCACAGCGAUGACCCAAGCCACAGCAGUGACGACACCAGAUCCUUAACUGCUAGGCCAACAGGGAACUCCAGUUCUGUCAAUUUUUGCUUCAUGUAUUUCAAAACUGUGUUGUUAGGUACUCAUAUAUUUAUAACAAUUUUAUCUUUUUAAUAGGUCAGUUCGUUUAUCAUUAUGAAAUAUCCUUUCUUUGUCAUGAGUAACAAUUUUUGUCAAGUCUAUUUUGUUUGAUAUUAGUAUAGCCACUCCAGUGCUCUGUAGCUCAUUUGCAUGAUAUGUGUUUUUCCAUUAUUUUCCUUUCAACCAACUUGUGUUUUUCCAUCUUAAGUUUGUCUCCUAGAGGCAGCAUGUAGUUGGAUCAUGUAUUUUUUAAUCCAUCUCCUAAUCUCUGCCUUUUAGUUGGAAUGUUUAAUCUAUAUACAUUUAGUUUAAUUACUAAUAAGGUAAGAUUUAUGUCUGCCCAUCUUGUUAUUUAUUUUCUACUUAUACCUUCUCAGUCCUCCACUAUCUUUCGUUACAUUAGAUAAUUAAAAUUUAUAUUUGUUUCCUUUGGAGUUCCCAUUGUGGCUCAGUGGGUUAAGAAUUCAAUUAGUAUUUAUGAGGAUGCAGGUUCAAUCCCUGUCCUUGCUCAGGGGUUAAAGGAUCAAACAUUGCUGUGGCUGUGGUGUAGGCUGGCAGCUGCAGCUCUGAUUCAACCCCUAGCCUGGGAACCUCCAUAUGCCAUGGGUGCAGCCCUAAAAAGACAAAAAAAGAAAAAAAAAAUUAAGUCCUUUAUUUCUUUUUUUUCUUUUUUCUUUUUCUUUUUUUUGGGGGGAGUGCUGUACCUGAGGCAUAUGAAAGUUCCCAGGCUAGAGACUGAAUUGGAGCUACAGCUGCCGGCCUUCAUCACAGCCACAGCAACACAGGAUUGAAGCCACAUCCAUGACCUACACCACAGCUCACAGCAACGCCAGAUCUUUAACCCACUGAGCGAGGCCACGGAUUAGACCUGCAACCUCAUGGUUACUAGUCUGAUUCGUUUCCACUGCACCACAAUGGGAACUCCCAAGUCCUUUAUUUCUUUUAUUGUAUAAUUUUGAGUUGUUUUCUUGUAGGGAUUACAAUUAGUAUUUUAAUUUAAAAUAACUUAGUUCAGGAGUUCCCGUCGUGACUCAGUGGUUAACUAAUCCAACUAGGAACCAUGAGGUUGUGGGUUUGAUCCCUGGCCUCGCUCAGUGGGUUAAAGAUCCGGCGUUGCCAUGAGCUGUGGUGUAGGUUGCAGACACGGCUCAGAUCAGUGGCUACAGCUCGGAUUAGACCCCUAGCUUGGGAACCUCCAUAUGCCUCGGGAACAGCCUUAGAAAAGGCAAAAAGACAAAAAAUAAAUAAAUAAAUAAAUAAAUGAAAUAAUUUAGUUCAGAUUAAUACCAACUUGAUUUCAAUGAUAUAUAAAAACUUUAUAGCCAUUUCCUCUUCCCUCCUUCAUAUUACUAUUGUUAUAAAAGUUACGUGUUAAUAAAUGGUGUGACCAUCAUCAGCUAUAUAAUAUUAUUGCUGUAUGAAGUUGUCUUUUAAUUCAGAUAGGGGUGGAGGGAAGCCAUGUUUCUUGAGUAAACACUCCUUGGAUUGAUGCAAGCCAUUCGUUAAUUGCCAGAGUUCUGAAAAAGGUGAUUAUAUUUUUGUCAGUUUUCUUGUUUCAUUUAUGCAGGAGAGAAUUUUCAGAGUUCUUUAACCAUUUUCUUUUAAAAUCAUGCUCAAUGUAUUUUUAAGUUGUAUUUCCCUUAGAUGAAGUUAAACACUCAUUAUGUUUACAUUUCUUUUUAUAUAAGCUAUAGGUAGAUAUCCUGUGACCAUAUUCUAUUAAGUAUUUGUUUUCUAGUUGACUUGUAGGAGUUAGAGAAAUGAGCCAUCUGCCUUAUUGUAUGAGUUGCAAAAUUUUUCCUCAUUUUGUAUUUUGAUUUUUGCUUAUGGUAUUUCUGUUAUGGAGGGAAAGAUAUCAGUCUUUUCUUAAUUAAUCUCAGUGUGUAAGUUUUGUUUUGUUUUGUUUGUCUUUUUGCCAUUUCUUGAGCCGCUCCCACAGCUUAUGGAGGU
rnacentral:lncRNA from 1 species